AGCCAUCUCACCAGCCCUCAAUAACAUGUCUUUAUUAAAAAUAUUUGACAUUUAUCUUCAAAGUUCUUUGGUGAACACUGGGGCUCACACCCAGGACUGCCUGCCUGCUAGACGGUAAGCCAUACUGUCCUGUUAGUAUCUCACCAUAUAGCUGUGAGUUUCUACCUACCAUCCUUUUAAUUUUAACCCAGCGGACUCCCUUUAGCAAUUAUAGGGCCUGUUUAGGUGGUAAUGGACUUUGUCAGCUUCUGUUUGUUUGAUAAUAUAAUGCUUUGGCACUUCAUUUUUGAGGAAACAAUAUUCAGGAUUGUUAGUUGGCAGUUUUUAAUCUUUCACGACUUUAAAUGCCAUUUCGCAUCCUUCUGUUCGCUAAGGAUUUUGGUGUGAGAUCUGGUGGUGUUCACUGAACCAUGUGUUGAGCCACUCUCUUGAUGCUCUCAAUGGACUUUGACUUGAACGUCUGACUUGCAAAAAGUGUCUUGAUGCCAGUUUGUCAUACUUAGUAUGCAUCUGGCUUCCUUGUUGUCAGAUAAAUGCAUUUCAUCAAACAUGUUGUGCUUUGGCCAUGAUUUAUUUACACCCCCCCAUGUCUGUAAGUCUCCUUGGUCUCUGUUCACUUUACUUCAUUCUUUUUUCUUUCUGUUUUUUGAAGCGCGUGACUGCAGAUGACCUGUCCCUACUUCGCUCAGACAAGCUGCCAGUUCCUUCUCAUGAAAACUUUAUUCCAAACCUUAUGCUUUGUAGCUCUAAAGUUUCUGUUUGGUUUUGUUUUAUACUUUCUCGUCUCUUGGUUAAUAUUAAAACUCCAGUAAUGCAUCAUAUGCCCUCAUCUGCUCAGGCUACAUUAACAGAAUAGUAUAAAAGUUAGACAUUCAAUUUCCCAGCCAAAAUAUUGGCUGUCGUGAUAUUGGGUGUGAGGUCAAUGCCUGUGUGCUGGUCCAUGGCUAUCAUUUUUAUUUGUCUGCACAUGUCAGAAAGGGUGAGAGGCCUCUCAUGGGUCUCUUCUCUAAGGCCACUAAUUUCAUGACAUGGCACGCUCAUGGUCUAAUUACCUCCCAAAGGCCCAGUUCCCGUAUCAUAACCUGAGGUGUUAGGAAUUCAGCCAUGACGUUUGGAUAGACAUACACUUCCAAACCACUGCAUUCUUUUUCUGAUUUCCUUUGUUUCUUGGUCCACAUUUUCUUUUAACCCUUGGAUCAUAUUUCCAUUUUUGUAUAGUAAAUCUGGUGUCUCGGUUUGCUCGCAGACAUUGUUCUCUUUUUAGAUGCUUUUCUCUCCUUUGUAUGUCUUGGCCCUUUGGUUGAUACUGUUGGGAAUUAGAGUAUGGCAACUCUGGAAGCCAAAUUCUUCUCCUGUCUUAGUGCUCAUACUUUUGUUUUUCACAGUUUGAAGGCUGUCAUAGUUUGUUCGUUCGAGAGUUUUCUUAGUUACAUUUGUAGAAGGCAUCCUUUGCUGUGUGUAAUCUCUGAAUUCUUGACUUCCUUUGGCCAUAUUUUGACAAAGAACUUCCUAAAUGUCAGGCACUUUCUCAGUAUUUAAAGAGUCCUUCCGUGCUGAGGUGUUUCUUCAACCUGGAUUCGCCAUUGCUUGUGCCUUUAAACCAGCCUGAAGGAAUGGUAGUGUCUUCUUGAGUCUCUUCUGACCUAGUACCUGUGCGUAGCUUCCUAAACCCUCUCGGACACAGCUGUUUCCAAUAUUAAAAUCCAACUCUCCUAGACAGGAAUGCAACCUGUCUUAUCCCCAUCUCUACCUGUAAUAUUUUUUUUUUCAAAAAGAAAAUCAUGUAUUUAUACAUCAGAGAAGCCACUACAUGCAGAGGUCAAAUAACAGUUUGCAGAAGUCAGCUUUUGCCUUUUCCUGUGUGGGUCCUGGAGGCAGGACUCAGGUUGUCAGGCUCAGACACUAGGGCCUUUUCUCACUCAGCCAUCUUACCAUCCUUUCUCCUGGAGCCGUUUGUUCCGGGAGUCUGUGGAUCUGGAAUCCCUUUACACAGGAGUUCUUAACCCCAACCAUACUGUUUUCUUUGCUACUUCAUAACUAUAAUCUUGCUAAUGCUAUGAAUCAUAAUAUAAGUAUCUAUGUUUCCCAGGGGUCCCAGGUACCCAUAUGAAAGGGUCAUUUGGCCCCCAAAGGGGUUCUGACCCACACAGGUCAAGAGCCUACCUUAUAGGCUUAAGAGUAGUUUUCCUUCUUGAAUUUUGAGUUAGACAAGACAGAGACAAGCUCCUUGUAUCAACCUUCAAGUGUCUACCAUACAGUUUAGAAUAGUUAUAAAUAGUCACGCACACACACACAAAAGGUCUGCUCUCUUCCCUUCGACUCGAGGGAGAUGCCUAUACCCAGGUUCACUUCAUUGCCAAAGCUACUGCCACACUGGGAAUGGGGGGAUGGGUGGAUGGUACCUAGUAAUAAGGUACAAAACACUCUUGUCACCAUUUCAUUAGUGACCAUAAACUAGCUUCCAGAGCUCUACCAGAUCCAUUUAAAUCGUUCCACAUCCCUGUAUGUUUCUAUAGGAGAGUGAGACAUGGAACGUUCUAGUCUGCCUUGGCUGACAUCUUCCUUGUCAACAUAAUUUUGCUUCCAUUUGUACUGUCACCAAGGGCACCACAGGAACAUGGUAAGCAACACAAAUGUACAGUCAUAAAACAACAUGACAGCAAAGUAGGUCUUAGCUCUUUGGAGCAACUCAGAAGGAGCUUGGUUGGUGAAUUACAAAGAAGACUCUCCAAGGACACUGGUGACAGUCGAGAGCAGAUAAGGUUGUGAGGUGUAAGUUCUGUCUAGGUAGUAAAUUACAGAGGAGCCAGGGCUUGCCGACAGUGUGGGCAGCUGCAGUCACAUGCUGAGAGCGGUUGGGUCUGAUUUCUGGAUGCGAACGUAAUCCCAGCUCAUGAAUGGUCUUAACCGGAGCCAGAAGUGACCAAGCAGAAGAGCAUUCGAGAAGAAUGAGAUGACUUGUUCUGGAAGCACAUUAGAGACUCCCCUCAGGAUUCAAAGCCCUGUCUUAUUCGCUCUGUUCCUCAGGACGCUUUUCAUAUCAGCACGUCCUAGCAUGCCUGGGGUUUGCAACUUUAACUCAGAAGUGACUUUUGGAGAGGACUAGAGUUUGGUUCCCGGGACCCACAAGAUGGCCCAUAACCUCCUGUAUCUCCAGUUUCAGGGCAUCUGAGACCUCUUCUGGAUUCCUUGGGCACUGUACAUACAGGUUCUCAAGUUCUGCCUAGGUCCUCAUACAACCUGCCAUGUUGCCUUCGGCAGACUGCCUUCCAUUGGGUUGGGACUACAUCACACUCGGGAAGGACUACUGUAAGAUGUGCCUGGUGAGCUGGUAAUGAAGUUGGUGCUGCCCGAUGGCUUCCCAAGGAUGGGAUUUUGACAAGUUUGACAAUGAACUCCAUGCCAAGGCAGGCAGGUGGAUCCCAGAGCCUUUCAUGUUGCAGUCCCAUCUCUCAAGACUGAAGUGGCUUGUUCCAAAUCCCACCCACUGCUUUACCAAGCCCAUCUCUCCACACUCUCAAGAUAGAUUUCUCUCUGUGGUCAGUUAGGCCGCUGUGUGGUUUCCCCUACUGGAUUCCCUUUUGUGGUUGGAGGGCAAACAUUUUCUUGCCUGCUGCUUCCAGGAAUGUGUGUGCUGCACAGGAGGGUUUUAUUUUACUCCCCUUGAAUGGGAUGGCAGUCAUCCAGCAGGCCUGGGAGCAUGUAUAAAUAGAGGGACACGUAAGCCUGCAUUUAAUAUCCAGAACAUAAACCAGCCACCUUGUGUAGCUACACCGUCAUGUUUUGAUUAAAGGCUGAUGACAGCUCCACAGACCAUACUGUGAGGCCCGGCAAACCAACUAAUCCCACUGCUGUGGUCCAGGCACAGACGGGCACGCUCACUGCCAGGAACAGCUUUUCUCCAGCCACCAGCAACUCUGAGCUACCUUUGCCUUUUUGCUGGGAUUAAAGGCGUGUGCCACCACCGCCCGGCUCUCCUUCUGCUUCUUGUUACCUCUGACCAUGGUUGAAGAGGCCAGGUGAAUGUGGAAGACUGAACUGUACAUUGAAUCCCAAGUCAUUGUCUUCUUUUAUUCUUGACCUUCUAGCUCCAGUUAGUCACUCCUCAGUGUCUCUUGGACUAUGGAGCUAUUUCAAAGGGACCCAUUGAAAAGUUCACAUUUUUAUUUGAUUUUUUUUUCUUCUUUUCUAGUUUCCACACAAGAAUAUCACUUUAUGGCAUAUACAGUAUAAAGCAGGAAUCUUUA